AUGGGGGAAAGUGGUCCCUCUUUAUCUGUUAAUUCCUUGGGGGAAGUUCGGUUCAGAAUGAAUAGUCUCAAAAUGUGUAAUAAAGUUACCUAUCAAGACCACUUUUGCAGAGAGAUUUAAAUGUGAUAAUAAGAAUAAAAGAAGAUGAAGUGACAUUGAGGACAUCUUCUUUUAUAACUGCUCUUGGUCUUGACUGUUAAGCACACUGUAAAAUGACUUUUAUACAUUUAUGGAUGGAAAUGGUUCUGCUGAAAUUUUAAGUGUUAACAUUGUUCAAACUUCCAUUACUAACACCUCUCACAUUGUUAUAAAACAGUUUCAUAUUUGACAUUUUGAUCAUACUAACCUGGGACAUUUUAUGCUGAAGCUCUCCCUGCAUUCAAUAGAUUCAAUUCUAUGCUAUUUUGAUUUUAGCAUCUUUCUAUAGGAAGCCAAUACAUUAUGUUUGCACAUUUUAUCUCCAUGCAUUCUCUAAACUGAUCAUCAUCACUGAAGAUAUUUUGGAGAGAGAAAGAGAGAGAGAGAGAGAGGUUAAUUUUUUAUGGUUGGUUUUGGUGGGAAAGAAGAAUUUUUUUUUCUUUCUCAACCUCGUUCUUUUUCAGAUUUUCUUUAUUUGCUAUUCCUCAAAGCUACCACUAUUCAAACUAUAGUGCACAAACUGCAUCUUAUUUUUUGUGACAGGUUUUUUGAGAUAUAAUUCACAUACCAUAUAAUUCAUCCACCUCAAGUGUACAAUUCAGCGGCUGUUAGUAUAUUCACAAACUUGGGAAAACAUUGCCACAAUCAACUUUAGAACAUUUUACUAUCCCCAAAAGAAAGUCUGUAUCCCAUAGUGGUCAUCCCCUAGCCUCUACCCUCCUUCCUUCCUAGGCUUUGGUCACCUAACCAUGUCUUUUCACUCUUUCUCUGUGGAUUUGCAGUCUGGACAUUUCUCAUGAUUGGAACCCUGCACUAUGUGGUGCUUUGUGACUGGCUUCAUCUAUUCAUUUAUUCUUUCUUUCUUACAAGUACAAAAUGUAAAAGCAAAUACAUACAUACACAGAAACUUUUAGCUGACACUAUUGGAUUCCUUUCUGUAGAUAACUUAGCACCUCUCGGUGCUGACGUCUCCCAGGUGUUUAAGCCAUGCUUGUUGAGUAUAUAAUUGAUGGAUAAAGCUAAUGCCAGUGACUUGGCCCUUAAAGCCACUUUCAGUACAGCUGCGGACACAUCUGCAACAAAGGGUACCUCAUUAACAGGAUAAGGCCACAGUUCUGCUUUAGAAAUUACAUUAUGUGGACCCCUCCGAUAGCUCCGGCAUUCGAAGCUGCUGCUGUUUCUUCCUGGUCUCCAUUUUCUGCUGCCUGUGAAGUGAGAGCAGGACCCACCCUCUGGACUCUUUGGGCCCUCCUUUGUUAUCUCCAAGUUGGUUGUAAUGGCACCUUCUUCAGAUAUUGUUGUUGUUGAGGUAGGAUCAUUUGGUAGUGGAUAAAUUUGAGUUUGUCACUAUUUUGCUUAUUUCUUCCCAGGGUUUUGUAGGAAAGAUUAAGGUGUUGCUUGACUGUAAAUCAUUCCUUAUAAAAUUUAGGGCUGCUUUAUAAAGGCUAACUUUGUUGAAGACAACUUGAGCCACGACUUGCAUCUUGAUGGAAAGAGAGAUACUCUCUGUAAGAUGACAGAAUGGACCCUGGGAACACCAAACCUAGACAAAGUUUGGCCACAAAACUGGUGAUGGACGUACAGGACAUAAUUGGACAAUCGGCUUUCCUGUUUAUUUAAGAUCUGUCCUCAUUAUCGCAGAGGAUGGAAAGUCUGCUUAAGUUAUAAGACAUCACUAGCCUGUUAUCAUCAGCGGGGCAUAUUUCCUUAACUGGAGGGAUCACUGGCUUGGAUAUCCAACCUUACAAAAAUAUAAGUACAAUAGAUCAUUCUCUUCCCAAAAAUGAAAUAUAGGGAGUGGACCAAGUCCUGUCUGGAAGAAGUGAUUGUGCUUGCUAGACCUGUCGUGCAGUCAGGGUUCUGAGAGAUGGAUUAGGUGGAGGGAGGAGAACUUGAAGGAACAGAACCUCUGUCUCCAUUUCUCUAACAGCUUCAUCAUGGCAGAAGUCUUUUCAGGUUCGCUCUGGGGGGGUUCGGGAUCUGCCAGACCCUCUACCCUAAACUCCACUGGAGCUGAACCCCUGUCUUCUUCCCAUUAGGUAGGAAAGUCAUUCUGUCUUGCCAUGUGAUUCUCUACUUCAUAAAUCCUCUUUUCAAACAGUAUUCAACAACCUCCUAAAUUAAUAUAUACUGUGUUCUUUUAGUCAUGGUGAGGGGAGCCUGUCUCACAGGGAGCAUGUGUUCAGCUCUGUGUUGCCAGAGCAUUGUCUGCCGUGUGCAGGACAUCUGCUCACAAGAGCGCAUUUGUGCUCCAGAUUCAGGACUGCACCUCUGUCCGGAUGCCUGCUCAGAUGAAAGUCAGAUGUGGUCCAACCAAUUUUCCAAGGGUCCCUGUCCCCAGCAUGGGGCCUCAUGCAUUAAUGAGAGACCAAACCUACUUCCCACCACCACCCUCCAUUCACUGCUUUGCUAACCAUAUCCCAAAUGUUAGCAUGGAUCACUUUCUAUGAAGCAUAAAGAGCCAGCCAGGAAGCUUCAGCAGAUAAAUUAUUUGCAAUGUUUAAUUAGUAUUGCACAGAUUUAGUAAAUUUCUUAGUUACCUAGGAGUCCAUGUAGCUUCUGAAAAGAGUUGGCUAAACUUUGAAUAAUAGAUGUUUUGUUUAAAAGAAAGAUCCGUUUGUGAAUGCUGUUACCAGAUACCUGAUGGCAGGAUGUGGGAGUGUGCUUGUAAAUGUUUACAUUAGGGAUGUGUGUGUUGAUUACAGUGGUGUAAAUAUUCAUGCUCUAGCUGAUUUCAAACUGCUAACACAAGGUCACUGAUUGUAGAGUUGGAAAAACUUUGAGGUUGGGCACCAAGAGGUGUGUGGUAUUUCCUCUAUACAGAUAGAAUGGACGCAGGUAACUGAGAGCAUAGAUAAUAGUUAUACAUACUAAAUUUACCCGCAAGUACUGAGUUUUGGGUGUUGCUUACCUUUGUCUUUCCUAUAGCAUAUUUAACUGUAGGUUUGCAUAACUUAAUAUUUAAUAAUGAGUGUGCCUGACAACCAGCUCAUAAAAUCUUUGAAAAUUUAGCUGUCGACCCUCUUGAGCCAUUCAAGCCUGACUGCAGCACACCUCCAAGGUGUUUACAUUGCAUCUUGAGUUUGGAUGAAGUUUGUGAUCUACUCCUAACAGAGUCCCUGCACAGUUUUCCGAGGGGGUGUGAUGAGCCAGGCGGCAUGCAGCUAAGUGUCCUCGACAGCAAGCAGACACAUGUACCCAGGUUGGUAUAUCCCAGACGAUUCUGUUGUACUGAUAUUAAGGACAACAGUAUUUUGCCAGAAGCUAUAGUGAGAUGAUUCUGUGACAACAACAGGGUGACACCAGACUAUGUUUUGCAAUUUUCUUUAAUAUUUAUGCUGAAUAAAUAAUUUAUCUCUGUUUUUCAGUUUUUCUUUUCUCAUCUCGAACAUGUUGAUAUAGACAGGUGCUAGGUUUUCCUGAGUGACUAAAGGAAAGGCUUGGUGAUUUUUUUUUUCUCCUUGAAAAAGCAGGUGCAUCAGCAGAGCUGAGCCUCUGGGAAUUAUUUCCCCCACACUGCAUCCCAUCUACUAAUACAAACUAAUGAGAUCUAUUAAAGACCGGCCCACACAUUCAAAGGGAGUCACUGAUUAACGUUCUGACUCUGCCUGGUGUUCGAACAUCAGAACAAUUACACACAGGAGUUUGAAAGACUUGAAGGCAUGUCUCACCCAUUUCCAUUCAGGACUUAACUGCAGAUACUCCCCGAGGUCCAGCUGCUUGACCUUGGCACUGCCCCAUGGCACUCAGAGUGAUGGGUGUCUGUUAUGUGCAUGGUAAGGUGUUUAGCGGCACCCCUUGUCCUGUACCUGAUAUACCAGUGGCAACAUAAUGGGUGCAAUAGAGAUAAUAAAAAAUUUCUUCAGGGACUGUCAAAUGCCCUCUGGAGGGCAAAAUUGCCCUUGGUUGUGAACCAGUGCUCUGUAGCCACAGCUUACUACUUCCAUCAUGCAGGAAAAGAGCAAUAGCCAUUGCCUCAUUGUACUGAGCCCUUCCUCUAUUCCUCCCACACUAGAAUUGGAACUAAGACAACC